GACGAAGGGGGCUAGCGUUGUUCGGAAUUACUGGGUUUAAAGGGUGUGUAGGCGGGCUUUUAAGUCAGUGGUGAAAUCUCCGGGCUCAACCCGGAAACUGCCAUUGAUACUAUUAGUCUUGAAUUUUGUUGAGGUAGGCGGAAUAAGUCAUGUAGCGGUGAAAUGCAUAGAUAUGACUUAGAACACCAAUUGCGAAGGCAGCUUGCUAAACAAAUAUUGACGCUGAGGCACGAAAGCGUGGGGAUCAAACAGG
rnacentral:rRNA from 1 species